AGGCUGUCGGUUACAUUCGGUUCUUGAUGGAAGAAGGGCAGUCAGUGUCCCCUGUAAAGAGUGAUCUCUGAUUGACCACUUCAGGAGGGUCCCACCGUCCCCUGUGAUUGGAUGGAGUGUCUCGCAUUUUACAUUGUCCCUGAGAGGAGAGGAGCCCUUUGGAAAAGUCUGAAAAGCUAACAUUGAACUGGGACAUAACAGCAGCCUUGGGACAUCAGAGCCUGCUUGUGCCUGCUCUGCACUAUUGGAUGUUUUUAUGUGUACUACAUUAAGAGCUUCCAUCUCUCUGGACAAAGGGGAGAAGCGCUUCCGUGGUGGGUGGCCCCAAUUAAACCCUGUGCCUAGUGAGUUUCCGCCCAGGCUGACUGGAAGUCAGCCAGGGCUGAUUAGAGAGCAGGUACCUCAAAUGGCCCAGCACGGCCAUAAUGAAAUAGUCCUGGAAAAUUGCUAAAUGACAUAGAGGAAAAUCAUUACAAUUGAAAUGCCUCCCUCCCCCUUACCCUCUAUAACAUAAAGAAACACUUCAGAAUUGCCUAAAUAUUGCUUUGCCCAGUGAGUUAACUGUAUAGUAAAUGAAAG
ensembl:lncRNA novel transcript, antisense to ADAMTS18